AAGUAAAAGUCGUAACAAGGUUUCCGUAGGUGAACCUGCGGAAGGAUCAUUCACAGUGAGUGUUUUAUGGCACUCUUUAAAAAUCCAUAUCCACCUUGUGUGCAAUGUUUGUUGGGAGAGAGGCAACUCUUUCCCUUCACAAAUAUCAACCUAUAUCUUUAACAACAUUCGUCUGAUAACAUAUUAUGAAUAUACUUAAAUCAAAAUAUAACUUUCAACAACGGAUCUCUUGGCUCUCGCAUCGAUGAAGAACGCAGC
rnacentral:misc_RNA from 1 species